rnacentral:rRNA from 1 species
ACUCCUACGGGAGGCAGCAGUAGGGAAUCUUCCACAAUGGACGAAAGUCUGAUGGAGCAACGCCGCGUGAGUGAAGAAGGGUUUCGGCUCGUAAAACUCUGUUGUUAAAGAAGAAUAUAUCUGAGAGUAACUGUUCAGGUAUUGACGGUAUUUAACCAGAAAGCCACGGCUAACUACGUGCCAGCAGCCGCGGUAAUACGUAGGUGGCAAGCGUUGUCCGGAUUUAUUGGGCGUAAAGCGAGCGCAGGCGGUUUUUAAGUCUGAUGUGAAAGCCUUCGGCUCAACCGAAGAAGUGCAUCGGAAACUGGGAAACUUGAGUGCAGAAGAGGACAGUGGAACUCCAUGUGUAGCGGUGAAAUGCGUAGAUAUAUGGAAGAACACCAGUGGCGAAGGCGGCUGUCUGGUCUGUAACUGACGCUGAGGCUCGAAAGUAUGGGUAGCAAACAGGAUUAGAUACCCCUGGUAGGAUAGCG